CUGGCGGCGUGCUUAAACAUGCAAGUCGAACGAACCUUCGGGUUAGUGGCGGACGGGUGAGUAACGCGUGAGAAUCUGCCCUCAGGAGGGGGACAACAGCUGGAAACGGCUGCUAAUACCCCAUAUGCCGCGAGGUGAAAUGAAUUUCGCCUGAGGAUGAGCUCGCGUCUGAUUAGCUAGUUGGUGUAGGUAAUGGCUCACCAAGGCAUCGAUCAGUAGCUGGUCUGAGAGGAUGAUCAGCCACACUGGGACUGAGACACGGCCCAGACUCCUACGGGAGGCAGCAGUGGGGAAUUUUCCGCAAUGGGCGAAAGCCUGACGGAGCAACGCCGCGUGAGGGAUGAAGGCCUCUGGGCUGUAAACCUCUUUUAUCAAGGAAGAAGAUCUGACGGUACUUGAUGAAUAAGCCACGGCUAAUUCCGUGCCAGCAGCCGCGGUAAUACGGGAGUGGCAAGCGUUAUCCGGAAUUAUUGGGCGUAAAGCGUCCGCAGGCGGCCCUUCAAGUCUGCUGUUAAAAAGUGGAGCUUAACUCCAUCAUGGCAGUGGAAACUGUUGGGCUUGAGUGUGGUACGGGCAGAGGGAAU
rnacentral:rRNA from 1 species